ACUCCUGGAAAAGACAAAAACCAUGUAAAAAUAUGAUUUGUUUCAUAUUGUAUAUUGCCCAAUAAUUCUUUUAUUCUCUUCUGACUCUCAUUACUUCUUACCUGAAUUCUCUAUGUAUUAUAUCUAUCUAGACCCCAGCAACUUUUACAUUAAUGGUGUGAUUAAUAUCUAAAUUGCAGCAUAAAUUAUAACAUGCCACUUGUUCAGCCAAUUUAUGAUGUGAUAAAAUGACAAACCAUCAACAAAGAUACCCUACAUUUAUUGUGGAACCUCUCCAUAGACAGUUUGUAUCAUGCUUUAAAUUGAAUGUAUGGCAUGUGCCCCUGACCUGGAGCUGCCCUGUGCCCCAUCUGGAUGAUUAGCUGAUUGUUAGAAUAGGGUAUGAGGCAGCUUCAGAUUCUGGGACACAGCUAUCCCGUUCCAAAUCCUCAGGGUCAGGCAGAAGACAGCUUGGGUGCUGAAAUGGGACUAGAACUGCCUCAUGCCCCAUCCCAAUGAAUGGCCAUUGCAGGCUCUAUCCCUGGGAAUUAGACAGGGGCAUCCCUGGGUUCUGGGCCUGGUCACCCCUGCCUAAUCCUAGAGGUAGCUCCAGAUCUCAGAUCUGGGACCUGGGACUGCUCUCUGCCUGUCUUGACAUGGCAGGAUGCACAACUUUUUUUGAUCCAGUGUAAACUUCCUUAGAUUCCAAUCAUAUGACCAGAUUAACCUAUGCCUAUGGUUCAUUUACAGACAAGAUAGUAUAGAUUAUGGCUUCCUUUAUCUUAACUAGAGACUGGCUUUCAUUACCAAAAAAAUAGGUAACAUGAAAUAGAACUCUUUGGGUGGAAGAGCAAAUGAUAUAUCGUGCAGAUUACUUAAUUUUUAAUUUUUUCAUUUUUUCAUGCUAGGUCUGUUAUUUACAGAGCAAAUAUAACUCUUGUACAAUGUAGCAUUUUUUCUAAUAUUGCAUAAAUAGACUGGGAAAAAAUAUCAGGUCCAUCUUCACAUUUCUCACCCCCUCAUGAAGCCAUAUUUAUGAAGUGAUGCACUAGUGCAUCUGAGAGGAUAAUCUGAUGAGCAGACCAGCUGAAAGAAAAUAUAAAUUGCAUCAAUUUUUAGUUUCCCACACACAGCUUCCUCCCACUGACAUUUACUUCCUCUUAUUCUUAUAUACCAUACCUCUGAAUUUGAAACCAUGAACUCCAGCUGUUCAGAAGGCAGGUAUAAUUGUGUGCUGGGGUUUUUCUAGUUAUUUCUUGUUCAACAUUUUUGCUAUUCUGGGAUUUACUUUAGUUUUCUGUUUCCUGCCUUAAAUAGUUUUCAGUGUACUACUGCCAUUCAGUUAUAAAAUCAGUGAAAAAGUAACGAAGUUGUGCUUGUCUUGUACUUUUUAGAGGAUCAAGUUCAGCAAACCCCCAAAUUCUGAAAUCUGGGAAACUGAAAUAUCAUAAUCUUUUACUAUCUGAUAUUUGAUAGUAGACACUGGCUACUAAAGGAAAAGAAUGUUGUACAGUACCUACAUCGCACACCUCAUUAUAAUGAAAUGAGAUAAUGGUUGCUCCUUGAUGUCCAACAUCUUUUACUGCAGUGUACCUGUAUUAUGGAUAGGACCUUACUUUAGCUAUGUAACACCGUUGUAUACUGAACCAACCCCUAUGUUCCCAGUCUGCCCCUCACCUGCUGGACUGCCUGGUCCUGUUUCAACCAUGUUCCUGCUUGGCAUGCAGUCCAUGUCAGCCCCUACUUUUAGCUAGUCUCUCCACUACACUCAGAUUUGGUGUGUACCUUAUUGUAUGUUUCCUGGUUUUAGAGAUGUAUAUUUGGGUUGCUUUUGGGUGUACCUGUGGAAAUGGGGUCAGGGACAAGGGAAACUCAACCACCAGUAGGUGGCAGAAAAAGAAGUUCAGUGUCCCCUCAACCCCUUUUCUUCUAUCAAGAGUGGUACAGUUUCUUCACAUCUCAGCAACUAUACAGUUAGCAGGAAGAAGAACUCAGACUACACAGAAGGGUAAGACUGCAACAAAUUCUGUAUCCUACAUGGAAGAACAGACUUUUCCAAAGAAACAGGCCACCAGAUCCCUUCAGAAAAUUGGUCAGCAGUUGGUCUCAGGCCCAAAGGGCCACGGCCCCCAGACCCUAAGCAUUAACUUUGCAUAUUUUUUUAUGAUUUUACUGGUUCAGUAUAGUACUGAGCAUUCUUCCUCAAGAAGGUAUGGGGGUAGUGCUGUACACUAACUAAGAUAUAGGCUGUGUGAUUGCAAUCUGUUUAAAGCCAUCAUUUGAUCACUCUGAUGUGCUCAAAGGACAUUGCUGGAAUCAGUCAGGCUAGGGACAAACAUUCAAAAAGCCUGAGCCUGAACUGAUUCAUUCUUUGCAGGUUAGUCUAAGCUGCACAGCUUAAACUGAUUAAUAACUGGACAGACAUUCUCUGUUAAACCAGAAAAUGCAGGCACAUGCCUGCAGUAGCUCAAACCAGAAGCUGGGAAGUGCUACAGCAUGCGUGCCAGCCACUGCCAAAGCGGGGAGGAAGAGAGACACCCACCAAGACUUUCAACCCUCCCUGCUAGAGUAGAGUGGGUGUGGCCAGGCACCAGCCAGGGCUAGCCGGACACAUAGGAUGCCAGCCACCGGCCUAGGGGUGGAGGGUGAGCUGUUGCCAGAUUGAUGAGUGGGAAUGGGGAAAAAGUCCUUUCUCUGAAGCAAGCAUGUAUUGAACACAGCAAUUUGCAAAGCAUACAACAGGGAACUAUGAAAAAUUAUCACCUAAGAUAAGAUACAGCCCAGUAAAACCCAGUUAUGUAUGCUGAUACACAACUUAGUCUAACUUAAAAUGUAAAGCAGGAAGACAAGAGAAAGCCUUGCAUAAGUCUUACUAAUCCUGAGGGCAGAGUGUUUCCUUACAGCCAGGCAUUCAGAAAGGCUUUGUUUAAGUUUUUACAGGUUCUGCUUGAUAAUGUAAAUGUAGCUCUCUGCAUUAUUUGGUGUGCAACUUCCAGCUGUCUGCAGUUUCCCUUAACUCCAUCUCCAGCACAUAUGCAUGAUGACUUUUGGUCUUUGCCAACACUUCCUACCUCUCAGUCUGGUCCUGCAGGUCUUAGCUCUGGGCUUACAGGUGCAGGUCUUGCCUCUGUCCCCUGCUCCUGCUGUGGAAUUAAUCCCCUCCCUGGCUGCAGACAAGCUGGACAGAGGGAGAAAUUAACUCCAUCUCUACCUGGUUCCCUGAAAGCUGUGGAGGUCCGCCGGGUUUGCCAGCAGGGGGGAGAGGGGAUGGAGGGAGAAAUUUGCCUUAGGGGCCAUGGCAGGCCAGCAUCUCGCCAUGCCCCACCCCUGCUCUGGCUACAGAGCAGAGGAGGGGCCAGCCCUGCUGCGAAGCAAAGAGCCCCACUCAGCCCAGAGAGCAUGCCGGGAUGCUGGGGGGUCUCUGAUUUGACUUAAACCAGCAAGGGGCCUGGGACAGACAUUGCGUAAACCAGUUUGAGCCAAAUCAGUUUAGUCUGAUACUACAUUCAACCAGGUUUAUCUCAAACUGGUUUCAGCCAUUUUCAAACUGGUUUAUGUGCACUGACUGUGUUCUGUCACAGGUUUAAAUCAGCUUCUGAUCACUUAAACCAGUUUAUGUGUAAUGUCUGUCCUUUGCCUCAGUGGUUAAAUAUGCUGUUUUCCUGAGAGGAUGCAGGCUGUAUGUUGAGGAAAAAUUGGACUUAAAUCACCCUACAUUUGGAUCAUUAACUGUAUUCUGGAGCACUAUGAAGCCCAAUUAAUUUUCAGACCUAAAUAAUCAUGGCAAUUUGAGGUGAAUUAAAAGAGUCAACCUUUAAACAGAAAAGGGUUUAAAGAGAUUUUCAAAGUGGCCUCUUCAGCUCUAUGUAAUAUUCUCACUUAAAUGAAAAUAUACCUUGCUGAAACACUGGCUCUGGGAGCUGUGAACUGCUCCAUUCAUCUAAUUGGGUGCUCUCAUCUCCUCCCCCCACCCCACUAUCAAUACUUAAAACCUGUGAUAUGUAUUAAAUAUUCCACCCCACUGUGUGUUUUGAGGUCUGGCACAACUGUUUGCUUCUUAACAAGGAGGAAGGGCUUGCUUACCCAGAUCCCAGUCCACAUGGUAGGGCAGGGAGUGGGGCUCAAAUAUUCCUGGAGAGAUUGGUAGCCUCUAUGCAGAGGACAAACAGAGGGACUUGGAUCCUUAUCAGAAGUCAAGCCCUUUUCCAACAAAUCCCAGCUUCUAUUUGGGCAGCAGCAAGAGGGACUCAAACCUGACUAGUUAGGCACCCAUACUGAGAGCCAAGACAUGGGCUUGGUCAUCCCUAGAGAGACAGGAUCUCAAAUCCUAUCAUACAAAAUGGACCAGGAGAAUAUCCUCCUCGUAGGUACCACUUACCUCUGAUGCCUCACCAGUCCCUCUCCCAUUCCCCAAAUCUCUCCCCCAUCUCUUCCACCUCUUAAACCUCAAACCUCCCUUCCUCCCAGCAAGCAUUUGUAUAUGCAAUUUAUUUUCUUUUCCAAAAUAUUUUGAACAGCCUUCAGCAUUUACUGAUGUUGAGAGUACAUUUUUGCAAAAUUGAAAACCAAAAAAAUCGUGUGACAGAAGCAUGUUAAGAGAAUAAUUUGCCUUCUUUUUUUAUGCUCUUCCACAUGUUUGUCUGAGGGUUGGUGAAGGGUUUCAAUGGCUAUGACGCAUCUGCCUCAAGCAACCCAGCUCAUGUGAAAACCUUGCUUAGUUUCGUGAGUGCACUGUGUAAUCUAUUGAGUGUAUAAGAAUCAGACAUGCUACAGUCUUGACAACCAGCUUUUUUUUUAAUACCUUUCAAUGUUGCUUCCACAAAGCAUUUGCCAUGCUUUAGUUGUGGUAAAUGCCCAGCAAUUGAUGCUAUUUUGGGUAUGAUUAGAUCCAUAGUUUGCUCCCAAUGAGCACACACAAACAUUUGGUAAUGUCUGUCACCUUUAAGAAAAGUUUGGGCAGGGCUGUUCAGUGGGGCUGUUAUCUCUGGAAGUCUCUGUUCAAUUUACUCCAAAUUUGGAACAAUAACCCUGCAGUUCUUGCACAUAACCCUCCGUGAUGUUCACCAUGUCCUUCAAAUGUCCACCAAAUCCUCACCUGCAGGAUGAGGAUUUUAGAGCACUACAACCUUUCAACAUAAACGGAUUUUCAACCUGAAUGAUAGCACAGCUGGCUCUCUUUUGUGAUUGUGUUUCCAGCUGAUUUUUCUUAAUAUACACAAAAGACUUUGGGAAUCAAAAAGUUAAAAGGUCCCUCCCCAAGCUAGAAUGGUUAAGACAUGUCAGUUUACGUUGUCAAUGGACUGUUAAAUCUACUCGCAUCUGAGUGCUUUGACUCUCCAGCCUGAAUGAUCCAGUACCCUUUUAAAACUGGGGUUGAGCUGAAUUACAAUUCCAACAUCAGUACAAAGCCAGGGCAUGGCUUGACCUCUUGCCUCUGGAGCCAUAACAAGAUGCCACUCUGUCACUAUACUCCCUACACAAACACACACUUUGAGAGUAUUUAGAAAUAUUAAUAAAAAUAUUAUAAGCCUGAACAUGUAAUACUGUACUACACAUACACACAUCCCUCAUUGAGACUGUACAUGUUAUUUAAAUUAAUCACAAGGUGAGAUCUUUGUAACUCAGACUUUUCCAUUUCUGAUGAAAGGAAAGUACAACUGGUCUUUUAGAAUGUAGGUCAUAUAGAUACCACAACAGCGCCACAUGGCUAAAUAGGGUCUGAAAAUGGAAACAAAGACCUAGAUUAGAAAGCAAAAUCUUCUGUCUUGGAAACAGAUUUUAAAGGCCCCAUUGUAACUCUCACAAAUUGGGAAUGAACAUCAACAGCAUGCUUGUGCUGUAACUUUUUGUCUUUCUUCCUUCCUCAACACUAAUACUACAUUCCCUGUCUUGUCCAAGUUAGACCUAGUUCCCAUAACAGCUCCUCAGAAUUGCAGGGGUUUUAUCCACCAGGAUCUUAUUACAGGAUCAAAAGCCUUAGAUUUGCCAUUUUCAGAGCACUGGUAUGACAUUUUCUUCAUCUGCAAAUCCCUGUACAUUACUAUGGUAAUGCAUAAAUUGAAAAAACAGGGUCAGAUGUCAGUUGGGAAGGAGCAAUUACUCCAGAAAACCUCCCUAAGGGUUGCUACACAUUUGAGGGGAUUUCCUUGGACCCACAUACUUAGAAAUAAUUACAUUGAUUUUUUCUUCAUUUGAAUUUGAGAUAAAUAUGCAGUUGAAAGGAAUAUGGCUUUACUAACAGGCAGACAUCACCCUAAGGUUAUGACCACUGUGGACUGGAGACAGCAACCUUCAUCCAACAGUAGGACCUUCCUGAGCUAGGGGAAUGUGUUGCUGAGAUGCCCAUCUCAACUCAGACCUCUUUGAAAUCCUGAAGUUCUCACAAAGAGGUCUUACUGAGCUGAAGCCAGGAAAGGGAGACCUUGAGACAGAAGGUGUCUUUCUUACAGAGACAAACUAGCACUGAAAUGUAGAGAUGCUGAUCCCUCUGCUACUAGUGCCAUGCUAGCAUUAUAGAGAAAGACUUCAGCUUCCCAGAUCAUUGGAACAUGCCUGCAUAGGUGAUCACAGUGAGAAAAUCCUUUUCUGAAACUUUUCUGCAAUGCUACUCUUAAAAUCAGUGAUUUGCUGAUUGAUCCAGGUGUCUGUGAUUGCUGUUGUUUUGGGUUUUUUUCUAAAGAAAGUGCAUGAGUGUGCACUGAAUUCCAGAACAGCUUACUCUGAAAACGCGAAUGCUGGCAUGGGCUAGUGUAACAAGAUGUCAUCAUUAGGGCAGAAACACUGCCUUCUUUGAAGAAACAACAAAGGAAACGCAGGAAGUAUAUAAAUUUCCUUUCUGAUUUCAGCAUGCAUGAUGGGUGACAUGCUAACUGGAUGUGCAGCAGGUGUUGCUAAUUUGCUCCUUUAAUUUAUACUUCUCCUGUUUAACUGCACCUUCCUUAAAUCAGGCUCAGUAAAUAAUGAGGGUGGAAGGGAGAUAAAACUGAUUGCUUCUAAUGCAGUAGAUUCUCCCUCAUGUUGUUCCUGCCCAAUGAUUAUCUUGACCCUCUCAGCAUCACCUGUGGACUUCUGGGAGUCACUGAAUAUAGGUCAAGGUAGAUCGCAUUUCCUUUUCUAAUACAGCACUACCACUGACGUACAGCUCAUUUGUGUAAUGCUUAAAAAAGACUAUCUAAUGCAUGAAGGAGCAAUAUAUGUAAAGCUCUUCCUGCACAUCUACCCCAAAUGAAGGGUUAGGUGCUGUUGAUCUAUUUAUGCUUAUUGAUUUUUCACUAUUAAUGAGCCUACCAGGUGAAGGUAUUCAGUGAGUAAGUCUUGCUGUAGAAGCCCUUCUACCUCCUAUAGGAGGUUCUUUAGGAUAAUCACCUUUGGGAACAAGGAGAGAGAGAACUUUGGGUUUGCAUCACUUUAAGUCUUACAUGUUAUAAGUAAAGAAAGUCUGAAAGUUUUUGUGCCUGACUUCAUUAUAACAAAACUGCACAAGACCAAUUAAAGCAAUUCUCUUUCCAGCUUCCCUGUAAUGACUGUUUAAAGGGAGCAUAGUGGGCCUGAGACUUCUGUUAAAAAAUGGUUUAUAAUGAGUUUCUGGUUUCACACGGCAUGCUAAGAAGUAAGUAAGAGGUCUUAUUGGAUUGAUGAUUUCAUGUACCUGUUAUGGCAAAUACUGGACUAUGUUAUGGUUAUAUAUAAAAUAUAGAAGCACUCCAACAAAAUUGAAUCAGCAUGCAAUGGUGAGCACCAUUUACUAGCUAUGUCUUGUAAGAAUAUCUUAAAUCUAUUUGCUUUUUUGCUGGUGCUCUGAUAGAAAUGAUGUAAUCCACAAAUGAUAAUUUAGAUGUAUGUAAGUAAGUUCUGGGAUGACAGCUGAAAAUAAUGCCUGUCACAGUUGGAUAUACUAGAACGUAUGCCUUCAGGGUGUUAAGGAAGGAUGAUCAUGAUCAGUGCUUGGAUGCAAAACUCAAGAUUAAGGUAUCUGCAAAACAGGUAGCUGCUUGUACAUCCCGUGUGCACUUACAAUCAUCAGUAGAAUCAUACUGACAAAAGCUGCAUAUCCUUUAGAUAAUCUAAGAUCACAGGUUGCAAAAUCACUUAUCUCUAAGAGUUCUGCAAAAGAGGACUAUGAUCAAUGAAAAGUAUGUGAAUACCCACACUUACAAUUCAGAGGGGUCUGCACAUCUGUUCAAAAAUUUUAGAGGUCUGCAAAUGAGAAAAGAUUGAAAACCACUGCUUUACAACACCUGAGUACUGUUGCAGAAAACCAAUCUUCAGUUUUCGGCUAUACUGAAUUCUUUAUAAAAAAGAGUAAUAUUCUGUCUGAUGCAUCACUGAAAUAAAUAUCCUAGCUAAGGCACAUGCCAUAACUUCUCAGAAAGAGGAAAUUCUCUUUUCAAUUAUUUUAUUUAUUUAUUUAUUUAUUUAUUUAUUUUAAUAUUGAGAAAGGAAGUCCUACCUUGCCCUGCCUUUGCCUUAGAAAAUACAGAAGAGAAUAGUGUGGUUAUGACAUGAGAGGAACUUAGGAAUGUCUUAAAAAGGAAGUAGAACUGAGAUUUUUUUUUUUUUUUCUUUUUCUCCUGCCAAGAGUUACUUGGAGGGAAAAAAAUAAAGUUUAAACAUUGAGACUUUCAUGUCACCCAAUAAUCAUUUUCUUCUCCUUUUUUAUUUUUAAGGGAAGGGGGAGGGACAUAAGUGUUUACUUACUAAAACUGUGUCGAUAAGAGACCAGCUACUUGUUUUUGUUUUAAAAGAAACCUUUAUCUCACUCAAAGAACAAGCAAAGGGGCUACAAAUCACUUCCUGCUCCUCUCUCCUCUCCUUAUCCUCCUCUGUGCAAAGCACCUUUGCAAAUAAAAUGUAAGGCUAAAGACUUGAAAAUGCACCAAUAUGAUUUUAUCAAAAGCAAUUUGUCAGGUCUCUGUCUCCAAGUGUAAAUUAUUGAUAUGUACAGCUCCAUACGUACCUGGGUACUACAACAGUAGGCAUGCUAAAAUGUCUCAGUAUUAGUUUUGUUAGUGUUUCUCUAUACUGGACACUUUUUCUGUCCCCCUCUCCAACAAGAAAUAAGCAUCAACCAUGCCAUUCUUCAGGCAAAAAAUAAGCAAGACAUAAGAUGUAACCUUUUUUAAAAAUCAAUCACCAAUUUUAUAUAGAUCUAAUAAAGCCAUAAAAUUCCUGGACCAAAUCUGCCCUCAUUACAAUUCAUGGGCUGGGAUAUGGUGGUGAGAUGUGUACGUUUUAUUAGGGCCACGCAUUUAACACUGAGUCUCUUACAACUUCCCUUUAAAAAUAAAUACACAACCAGAGUUUCAUGGACAACUCUGCUUUUACUCCAACCUGCAACAUAGGAAAACUAAAUCCAGAGUGGAAUAGUAGUGAAGGCGCUAUUCGAGUGCUUGCCUUGCAUCCUGCAUUCUACUGACAGCUGUUCGUGAUGUUGGAGUGGAGUGAUGCUUAUGGAGUUGUCUUGUUUUGUUUUUAGGGUGGUUAAUGGGGGUGGUUUUUAGGGUGGUCUUGUUUUGUUUUUAGGGUAGUUUCAGUAGUCCCUCCACAACCUUGGAGAAAAAAUCCAUGAUUUGCAUCAAUACCUAGUACAAUUGUCAAGCUAACUUCAUGGAUAAAACACAAGAAGUACACCUAUAGGGGGGUACACCAUCCCUCCAACCAUGGGACAUUGUGGGCAAGGUAUGACUGGAGACCCUGGGCCAGCAUAGGGUACCUGGACAAAAAGCAAGAGCACAAAAGGUGCGGAGGGCCACUGCUGCUUCCCCUUGACUGACCUGGGGGUUUGGGGGCCAGAGCUGUUCCUGCCCUGCUCCAGCUGGAGACUGUGGGGAGUGGGUCCAUGGGAUGAUUAGCUUGGCUGGGGACAGCAGUGAUGGCACUCAGUUUCCUCCUCCUAGUUCCCAGUCUCUGCUCACCCCUUCCUGGUGUCCCCUGUUGGCUGGGAUAAGGCACUGGAAGGGGGGGAUCUGUGUACCACUGUUGCUGUCCCUGGCUGAGCCUGGCUCCCUGCAUGGCUGUUCCUGGGGCUCCACCUGCUCCUGCAUCAAGUGGGAGAGCAGUGGCAGCACUUAGCUUCCUCCUUCCAACACCUGUUCCCAGGGGAUACCUACAGGGGAGGGGCAGGCAGGGAGCUGGUGCUGGAAAGAGAAACCUGCAUGCCACCACCACUAUCACCUGUGAAGCCCGUCACCCCACAUGACCACAACCAGCAUCUGAGUGGAGCCAUAGAGACUCUGAGGCUCCCCCUGUGCCUGGGACAGCAGUGGAAAGGGAGUGCAACCACACUGCCAUACCCUCCUUGGUCUGCCCUGGUAUAAGGUAAGAUUUGUACAAUAACAUUAUCUCAGCCAUGUUGCAUAAUGGAGUGUUUAAGUGUCUUGAUAAAUAUCCAUAUUUAUUCUGCUCAAAUUUAUUCUGGAUGUGAAACAUGACUAAAUUAAUGAUGUGGAUGGAGCUUUCGCUUUUGUCUUUCCUCAUAUAAUUUUAAGAGGGCAAACGUAAUGUCUUACCAGUGUCUAGUUCAUAUUUACUCUCCUUUAUAUGCAAAGAGUAAUUUUUUCUGUGAAAAGAAAUAUCAAUUAUUGUCUAAUGUACAUCUGCUCUUAGAUGUCUGACAGUGAACUAUAGCACUUGUAGCUGAUAUUUGACUGAUGAAAGUUGCCUGUAAAGUUGAGUCAAUACAGAAAAUUAGACUACCUUAGAUUUUGGCUCUAGCUUGAUAACGGGGAUAUUUAUUUUUUCCUGGCAUGAAAGUUCCAAAGUUGAAGAUUAAUGCACAACACAGCAAAUCCGAGACAAGACCUCAAAACCACAAGAUUCCCCAUUUCUUCUACUUUUCCUGAUGGUAAGAUAGUGCUUUCUGCACAACUUGUGUUCAAGUGAUGCAGUAAUAACAUGCUUCCUGCGGGUCAUCCCGGAAGCUGCUUGAGAGCAGCAGCUCUGCUGAUGCCAGGCUGGGAGGGCUUUCAUGUCAGAUAGGAGAUGCAAAUUCAGUAGGCUGGAAAUGAAAAUGUUGGGGCAUUUUCUCUCUCAUGCAUGUCUGAAACAUUGGGUUUUUUUUUUUCUUUGUCUGUUCUUGCAUGAAACUUCCAGCAGAAGCACUUUUGGUGGGUGAAGGGGAAGUAGUCAUUUUUCUGUUCCCAGUUAGAGGGGAAUUUUCAGAUGCUCUUCUGUUAAGUAGGGCUGGAAUAAUUUCUUUUGCUUUUGAAAGCAAUUUGGAACAAGCACAGAAAAGCUACAGAUAAAAUGUUUGUGUCAUGCCUGUGACCAUGUGUAGUCAAAGGUCUGUAAUAGGGGCAGCUCACAACGGUUCUGCUGUUUCCCUCCUUCAACAUGAGGGUACAGGAGUAUUAAAUCAUUUGCCCAAGUGCAGGUCAUAUAGUGGCCUAGAGCUAGUCAAAUAGCCCCUACUGCCAGGCAAACCAGAUAGGGCACAUCUCAGACCCCAUCUGACAUUUUUGUGUCCUGUGGCUAAAGGAGCUCCUGAUGUUUGCUUAAUUUUAAUUUCUGUCUCUUUAUAUUAACAUGACCUUUAUGGAGAGUCUGGAAUAUGCUACAGAUUCCAGGUGUUGGAACUUCAACAGUAGCUAAAAUUGAUUUGGUACGUGGAAUCAAAAUAAUGUAGCUUGACUUUUACAGUGUACUUAAAAUGCUUUUAAAACCAAGAUAUUGGCUGCACAAAUCUUGACUUAAGUAACAGCACCAUAAAUGUAUCAGUUACAACACAUCUGCCCCAUUUUUUCCCAUUAAUCCCCCCCCACCACCAAAUACAAAGUAUAAAGCUGGUCUCCUGCAUGAGAUGGCUCAUGACCUUGUGGUCCAUAAUCACUCUGGGUCAAAAUAAGCUAAAGAAGCCACCGACUACAGUAAAAACAUCAGGGAUGAAUUAGGUACGAUAUGUUAUGAAAGUACAAGGCCCAGUUCUCAUGUGCUCCAGUCAUAAGUCAGGAGUAACCCUCUUGAAAUCAACAAAAUUUCAGUGAUUAAAAAGAAGAGGAAUAUCAAUGUGUGUCUACAACACGUGAUUUUAAACAAGCUUUGCUAUUGUUAGACCAGAAAACGCAGACCCCAGACUAUAAUCUGGGCUUAAUUCACAUCUGAAGGAUCCCUAGGCCAUAACUAAGGUCUCCAGAUGAACUGCCUCCACUCUGCAGAGCACUUGGUUGGGAAGUUUGAGUCCAAUCACCAUCUACUCAAGAUUUAAUCUCCACACUAACUCAGAGGCCUGGUUUCAGUUGCCCCACAACCAUGCUCCCGUUAUUGUUAGCGCAUGUUAGAUACAUGCCCCAUUUCAUUUGGCCAUUGUACAUCUGACUGUAGCUUCAUAAUCUGAAUGCUUCCCUUGCCAAACUACAAUAGGAACUUCCUUGGUUUAUGAUUGUGUUUUUUAAGGUAGUAAAUCAAGAUGCAUUACAUUGAUAAGCAUGUUUCUUACCGUGAACCUGAUGAUUACUCAGAAGAAGCACCAUUAGAAAGAUGUGCAGUAAAAUCCUACUUGUCUGCAUGCCUGGAGAAGCCUUCAUUUUAUGGUCAUGGUACAGAUGGUUAGAAGUUCCUCAGUGGUAGA